AUACGUAGGGAGCGAGCGUUGUCCGGAAUUACUGGGCGUAAAGGGCGCGUAGGCGGCGCUUCAAGUCGUCUGUCAAAUGGGAGGGCUUAACCCUUUUUCGCAGACGAAACUGGAGAGCUUGAGAAGCAGAGAGGCAAACAGAAUUCCUGGUGUAGCGGUGAAAUGCGUAGAUAUCAGGAAGAAUACCAGUGGCGAAGGCGGUUUGCUGGCUGCAUACUGACGCUGAAGCGCGAAAGCCAGGGGAGCAAACGGGAUUAGAUACCCCGGUAGUCCUGGCAGUAAACGAUGUAUGCUGGGUGUGAGACUAGCGAUAGUUUCGUGCCGAAGUUAACGCGAUAAGCAUACCGCCUGGGGAGUACGGUCGCAAGAUUGAGACUCAAAGGAAUUGACGGGG
rnacentral:rRNA from 1 species